rnacentral:rRNA from 1 species
UACGUAGGGGGCGAGCGUUGUCCGGAUUUACUGGGCGUAAAGCGCGUGUAGGCGGUACUCUAAGUCCGGGGUGAAAUCCGGGGGCUUAACCCCCGAACGGCGCCGGAAACUGGAGCGCUUGAGUGUCGGAGAGGGGAGUGGAAUUCUCGGUGUAGCGGUGAAAUGCGUAGAGAUCGAGAGGAACACCCGUGGCGAAGGCGGCUCCCUGGCCGAACACUGACGCUGAGACGCGAAAGCGUGGGGAGCGAACGGGAUUAGAAACCCCAGUAGUCC